CUACGGGAUGCAGCAGUGGGGAAUAUUGGACAAUGGGGGGAACCCUGAUCCAGCCAUGCCGCGUGUGUGAAGAAGGCCUUUUGGUUGUAAAGCACUUUAAGCAGUGAAGAAGACUCUUCGGUUAAUACCCGGGGACGAUGACAUUAGCUGCAGAAUAAGCACCGGCUAACUCUGUGCCAGCAGCCGCGGUAAUACAGAGGGUGCAAGCGUUAAUCGGAAUUACUGGGCGUAAAGCGAGCGUAGGUGGCUUGAUAAGUCAGAGGUGAAAUCCCCGGGCUUAACCUGGGAACUGCAUCUGAAACUGUUAGGCUAGAGUAGGUGAGAGGUAAGUAGAAUUUCAGGUGUAGCGGUGAAAUGCGUAGAGAUCUGAAGGAAUACCGAUGGCGAAGGCAGCUUCCUGGCAUCAUACUGACACUGAGGCUCGAAAGCGUGGGUAGCAAACAGGAUUAGAUACCCGAGUAGUC
rnacentral:rRNA from 1 species